AGGAGGAACAACCACAGUGGCAGUGGCCAGCUCUGGAAACCUGGAUUCAGCUCCCGCAGUAACUACAGAGCUCUCCGUCUGCAGGGGUCUGGAUGCUCCGGGGCGGG
rfam:Canis lupus familiaris chromosome 34, whole genome shotgun sequence.